UACGGAGGGUGCAAGCGUUGCUCGGAAUUAUUGGGCGUAAAGGGUAGGUAGGUGGUCUUAUUUGUGUGGGGUGAAAGCCUUGGGCUUAACUCAAGAAGUGCCCCGCAAACGGUAAGACUGGAGUCUUGGAGAGGCUAGCGGAAUUCCCGGUGUAGCGGUGAAAUGCGUAGAGAUCGGGAGGAACACCAGAGGCGAAGGCGGCUAGCUGGACAAGCACUGACACUCAACUACGAAAGCGUGGGGAG
rnacentral:rRNA from 1 species